rnacentral:rRNA from 1 species
CCUACGGGAGGCAGCAGUGGGGAAUAUUGGACAAUGGGCGAAAGCCUGAUCCAGCUAUGCCGCGUGUGUGAAGAAGGCCUUCGGGUUGUAAAGCACUUUCAGUGGGGAAGAAAGCCUUGGGGCUAAUACCCUCGAGGAAGGACAUCACCCACAGAAGAAGCACCGGCUAACUCCGUGCCAGCAGCCGCGGUAAUACGGAGGGUGCGAGCGUUAAUCGGAAUUACUGGGCGUAAAGCGCGCGUAGGCGGUCUGAUAAGCCGGUUGUGAAAGCCCCGGGCUCAACCUGGGAACGGCAUCCGGAACUGUCAGGCUAGAGUGCAGGAGAGGAAGGUAGAAUUCCCGGUGUAGCGGUGAAAUGCGUAGAGAUCGGGAGGAAUACCAGUGGCGAAGGCGGCCUUCUGGACUGACACUGACGCUGAGGUGCGAAAGCGUGGGUAGCAAACAGGAUUAGAUACCCUGGUAGUC